UUGGGUUUCAGUAAGGAUAUCUCAUUUUGGGGUCUUCGAACUGAGAUUCAGCAAGGAGGGUUAAGUCGUAACAAGGUAUCUGUAGGGGAACCUGCAGAUGGAUCACCUCCUACGCAA
rnacentral:rRNA from 1 species